rnacentral:tRNA from 1 species
GUUAGAGUGGCAGAGCCCGGCAACUGCUAAAGACCUAAGCCCUUUCUACAGAGGUUCGAAUCCUCUCCCUAACU